UACGAAGGGGGCUAGCGUUGCUCGGAAUCACUGGGCGUAAAGGGUGCGUAGGCGGGUUUUUAAGUCAGGGGUGAAAUCCUGGAGCUCAACUCCAGAACUGCCUUUGAUACUGAAGAUCUUGAGUCCGGGAGAGGUGAGUGGAACUGCGAGUGUAGAGGUGAAAUUCGUAGAUAUUCGCAAGAACACCAGUGGCGAAGGCGGCUCACUGGCCCGAUACUGACGCUGAGGCACGAAAGCGUGGG
rnacentral:rRNA from 1 species